rnacentral:rRNA from 1 species
CUACGGGUGGCAGCAGUGGGGAAUAUUGGACAAUGGGAGAAACCCUGAUCCAGCAAUGCCGCGUGUGUGAAGAAGGCCUGCGGGUUGUAAAGCACUUUCGGUUGGGAGGACUGCUUCUAGCACUAAUAUUGUUGGAAGUUGACGUUACCUUCAGAAGAAGCACCGGCUAACUCCGUGCCAGCAGCCGCGGUAAUACGGAGGGUGCAAGCGUUAAUCGGAAUGACUGGGCGUAAAGCGCGCGUAGGCGGCUAGAUCAGUCGGGUGUGAAAGCCCCGGGCUUAACCUGGGAACUGCAUCCGAUACUGUCUAGCUUGAGUACAGGAGAGGAGAGUGGAAUUCCACAUGUAGCGGUGAAAUGCGUAGAUAUGUGGAGGAACACCAAUGGCGAAGGCAGCUCUCUGGCCUGAUACUGACGCUGAGGUGCGAAGGCGUGGGGAACAAACAGGAUUAGAUACCCCUGUAGUC